UGGGGAAUAUUGCACAAUGGGCGCAAGCCUGAUGCAGCCAUGCCGCGUGUGUGAAGAAGGCCUUCGGGUUGUAAAGCACUUUCAGCGGGGAGGAAGGCGAUAAGGUUAAUAACCUUGUCGAUUGACGUUACCCGCAGAAGAAGCACCGGCUAACUCCGUGCCAGCAGCCGCGGUAAUACGGAGGGUGCAAGCGUUAAUCGGAAUUACUGGGCGUAAAGCGCACGCAGGCGGUUGAUUGAGUCAGAUGUGAAAUCCCCGGGCUUAACCCGGGAAUUGCAUCUGAUACUGGUCAGCUAGAGUCUUGUAGAGGGGGGUAGAAUUCCAUGUGUAGCGGUGAAAUGCGUAGAGAUGUGGAGGAAUACCGGUGGCGAAGGCGGCCCCCUGGACGAAGACUGACGCUCAGGUGCGAAAGCGUGGGGAGCAAACAGG
rnacentral:rRNA from 1 species